rnacentral:rRNA from 1 species
UGGGGAAUAUUGCACAAUGGGCGCAAGCCUGAUGCAGCCAUGCCGCGUGUAUGAAGAAGGCCUUCGGGUUGUAAAGUACUUUCAGCGGGGAGGAAGGGAGUAAAGUUAAUACCUUUGCUCAUUGACGUUACCCGCAGAAGAAGCACCGGCUAACUCCGUGCCAGCAGCCGCGGUAAUACGGAGGGUGCAAGCGUUAAUCGGAGUUACUGGGCGUAAAGCGCACGCAGGCGGUUUGUUAAGUCCGAUGUGAAAUCCCCGGGCUCAACCUGGGAACUGCAUCUGAUACUGGCAAGCUUGAGUCUCGUAGAGGGGGGUAGAAUUCCAGGUGUGGCGGUGAGAUACGUAGAGAUCUGGAGGAAUACCGGUGGCGAAGGCGGCCCCCUGGACGAAGACAGACGCUCAGGUGCGAAAGCGUGGGGAGCAAACAGG